rnacentral:rRNA from 1 species
AAGACUUGCCACUUCUCCAAGUUGCCAGUUCAGCAGUGAGGAAUAUUGGUCAAUGGCCUAACGGCUGAACUGGCAACUUGGAGAAGUGGCAAGUCUUCCAGUAUGGGGAGCAAAACAGCUAUGGGUCAAGUCCGAUAUCUUUAGGAGAAGUCUUAUUGUGAGGGCGAGUUAUAUAACACCAUAGGACUGGCCGUCCCAUAUGAAAAGAUUAUAUUAGAAUUGAAUGAAGCUUUGUUUAUAUAUUGAUAAUGACAGUAUAUAUAUCGUGUCUUGACUAAUUGCGUGCCAGCAGUCGCGGUAAUACGUAAGAGACUAGUGUUAUUCAUCUUAAUUAGGUUUAAAGGGUACCCAGACGGUCAAUAUAGCUUAUAAAAUGUUAGUACUUGACUAGAGUUUUAUGUAAGAGGGCAGUACUUGAGGAGGAGAGAUGAAAUUUCGUGAUACCAAAGGGACUCUGUAAAGGCGAAGGCAGCCCUCUAUGUAAAAACUGACGUUGAAGGACGAAGGCACAGAGAACAAACAGGAUUAGAUACCCAAGUAGUCUUUGCAGUAAAUGAUGAAUGCCAUAGGUUAGAUUGAUCAAUUAUAGUCUAGGGUUAGUCUAGCAAACUAAUGCCCUAUGAUAUAAUUCAAAAUAUCUGGUCUAUAAAUGAAAGUGUAAGCAUUUCACCUCAAGAGUAAUGUGGCAACGCAGGAACUGAAAUCACUAGACCGUUUCUGACACCAGUAGUGAAGUAUGUUAUUUAAUUCGAUGAUCC